AGAUGGAACAGUCAUGAUGUGGGAUCUCUCAAGUGGACGUUGUAUUACUCCUUUGACCGGUCAUUCCUCUUGUGUGUGGUCACUUGCUUUUAGUGGUGAAGGUUCACUUCUUGCAUCGGGCUCUGCGGAUUGCACUGUAAAAUUAUGGGAUGUAACCACAAGCACCAGAGCGCCACUAAAAGAAGAGAACAAAUCUGGAGGUAACAAUAGGCUUCGGUUAUUGAAGACCCUACCUACCAAAGCUACACCAAUCUAUGCUUUGCACUUUUCACGAAGAAAUCUUUUAUUUGCUGCUGGAGCUUUCUCGAAAAGUGCACGAGUCCCUUGCUUUAAAGUCUCUUGACGUGAGAUUACAUCAUGGUUCCCUUGCAAAUUUUGGUGCAAUCAUCAAUGGCAAGUUUUACUUCUCAGACCUCGGUUUUGU
rnacentral:misc_RNA from 1 species